GCAUAUCAAUAAGCGGAGGAAAAGAAACCAACAGGGAUUGCCUUAGUAACGGCGAGUGAAGCGGCAACAGCUCAAAUUUGAAAGCUGGCCCUUUUAGGGUCCGCGUUGUAAUUUGUAGAGGAUGAUUCGGCGAGGGCUCCUGCCUAAGUCCCCUGGAACGGGGCGUCAUAGAGGGUGAGAAUCCCGUAUGCGGUAGGUUGCCUUAGCCAUGUGAAUCUCCUUCGACGAGUCGAGUUGUUUGGGAAUGCAGCUCUAAAUGGGAGGUAAAUUUCUUCUAAAGCUAAAUACUGGCCAGAGACCGAUAGCGCACAAGUAGAGUGAUCGAAAGAUGAAAAGCACUUUGGAAAGAGAGUUAAAAAGUACGUGAAAUUGUUGAAAGGGAAGCGCUUGCAACCAGACUUGUCCGCAGUUGCUCAGCCGGUCUCCUGACCGGCGUACUCUUCUGCGGCCAGGCCAGCAUCAGUUCGGGCGGUCGGAUAAAGGCCUCGGGAAUGUAGCUCCUCUCGGGGAGUGUUAUAGCCCGGGGUGGAAUGCGACCAGCCUGGACUGAGGAUCUCGCUUCGGCAAGGAUGCUGGCGUAAUGGUUGUAAGCGGCCCGUCUUGAAACACGGACCAAGGAGUCUAACAUCUAUGCGAGUGUUCGGGUGUCAAACCCGUACGCGUAAUGAAAGUGAACGGAGGUGGGAACCCGCAAGGGUGCACCAUCGGCCGAUCCUGAUGUCUUCGGAUGGAUUUGAGCAAGAGCAUAGCUGUUGGGACCCGAAAGAUGGUGAACUAUGCCUGAAUAGGGUGAAGCCAGAGGAAACUCUGGUGGAGGCUCGCAGCGGUUCUGACGUGCAAAUCGAUCGUCAAAUUUGGGUAUAGGGGCGAAAGACUAAUCGAACCAUCUAGUAGCUGGUUCCUGCCGAGUUUUC
rnacentral:rRNA from 1 species